AUUGAACGCUGGCGGCAUGCCUUACACACGCAAGUCGAACGGUAACAGGUCUUCGGAUGCUGACGAGUGGCGAACGGGUGAGUAAUACAUCGGAACGUGCCUAGUAGUGGGGGAUAACUACUCGAAAGAGUGGCUAAUACCGCAUGAGAUCUACGGAUGAAAGCAGGGGGUCGCAAGACCUUGUGCUACUAGAGCGGCCGAUGGCAGAUUAGGUAGUUGGUGGGAUAAAAGCUUACCAAGCCGACGAUCUGUAGCGGGUCUGAGAGGACGAUCAGGCACACUGGGACUGAGACACGGCCCAGACUCCUACGGGAGGCAGCAGUGGGGAAUUUUGGACAAUGGGCGAAAGCCUGAUCCAGCAAUGCCGCGUGCAGGAUGAAGGCCUUCGGGUUGUAAACUGCUUUUGUACGGAACGAAAAGCCCCGGGUUAAUACCCUGGGGUCAUGACGGUACCGUAAGAAUAAGCACCGGCUAACUACGUGCCAGCCGCCGCAGUAA
rnacentral:rRNA from 1 species